CACGUAGUUAGCCGGGGCUUCUUAGUCAGGUACCGUCAUUUUCUUUCCUGCUGAUAGAGCUUUACGUACCGAAAUACUUCUUCACUCACGCGGCGUCGCUGGAUCAGGGUUUCCCCCAUUGUCCAAUAUUCCCCACUGCUGCCUCCCGUAGGAGUUUGGGCCGUGUCUCAGUCCCAAUGUGGCCGUCCUACCCUCUCAGGCCGGCCACUGAUCGUCGCCUUGGUGGGCCGUUACCCCGCCAACCAGCCUAAUCAGACGCGGGCCCAUCCCAUACCACCGGAGUUUUCACACACCUUCAUGCGAAGCUGUGCGCUUAUGCGGUUUUAGCACCUGUUUCCAGGUGUUAUCCCCCGGUAUUCGGGGCAGGUUGCCCACGCGUUACUCACCCGUCCGCCACUACUACACUUCCGUUAGUCAAUGCAAGCAUCUCCUGCUUCUGUGUAAGUCCGUUCGACUUUGCAUGUGUUAGGCACGCGCCAGCGCUCAUCCUGAGCCAGGAUCCAAAUCCUCUGUACG
rnacentral:rRNA from 1 species